rnacentral:lncRNA from 1 species
UAAAAUAUUAUAUUUUAAUAGGUACUAUUUCGUAUAAAGGUGUGUCUUCUACCAUUUUUUCAACACAUAUUAUCAUUUUCUUCUUAAUCUUUUAUUCAUUUAUUCUAACAUGAAUAGUAAAAGACAUAGGCAUGUUUUCAUUCGAGAACAAAGCCUCCGAUGAAGAUGCAUUUUUGGGUUAACUGAAGUUUUGAGCAACUUGAUAGGAACUUGAUCCUUUUGUUAGAAUGAGAUAUUAAUGAUGGUGAAAUAGUUAGAAGGAUUGAUAGACUUGUUUAGUACAUCUCUAUUGUAGAUGAAAAUAACAAUAUCCAACGUAUGUGGGUACCAAUUAAAGAUGAUAAUGAUGUUAGGAUAUGAUGUCUGCACCAAAUGAUAUUAUUUUGAUUUUUGUAUUCUCUUAUAUGUGUUUUAGUUUUUAUUUAUUGUUUGUGUUGUUGUUUUAGGUGUGUUUGUGUUUAUUUUGUUGUAACUAAAAGUUGCUAUCUAUAUCCAAUUCCAAGGUUACAAAAAAUUUAACGACGUAUUCAAUUAUCAUCCAGAGC